GCCCUGAUCUGCAUACAAUGGGGACAGGGCAGUCUAGCUUCUAGAUCUGAGGACCCAGCCCCUGCCUGGCAGCCCAGAGGCUCCAGGUCCUUGCCCCACACUCCCAUCCUGCUUCCCUGACCUCUGAGCCCUGCAAGUUCAGCUUCCCUCAGUCCAGACAGUCUAAGUUACCUGGCUUCAGCCAGCCACACAUGGCCAGUCCCACCUUCAGGGCUGGGAAGGGCCUCUGUGGACGUCACAUCCAGGUUGGGAGGAGAAACACCGAGAAGAGGUGACCAGGCGUAGUCGAUUCUGCAGACUUAAAGCCAGUCUUCCCACCGUCUCUGACCAGGACCUUCACGACUUAUCUCCCUGCCCAGGCCUGGCCUCCCUGAUCCACCCCUCUUGCCAGCUCCACUUGAACACCUUCAAUGACUUUGUGGUGUCUUGGACACAUCCGGCUGCCUUAGCAGGCACAUGGGACCUCCCGUGGCCUCAGACAUCCCCACUGGUGGCCAGGCCCAUCAUAGUUGGGCUGGACACAGGGGCCUCCCCUCCAUGCUCUGCACACAUCAGAGCCCCCCAGGGCCCCUCAGGGCUCUUGCACUUCUGGCUGGACCACCCUGGCCCCCUCACUGUCAAACUCCUCAUCCCGCCUUUAAACUCACAGCAAAUGUCACUGCAUUUGUGGAGACCCUCCCACACCCUCCCUAGGGGCCCACAGCUCCCUGCCCACACCCCACAACUUCCCCUCAGGUAUAGAAGGCCCAGUGACCAUGAUCUCAACCCUGUGGGAGCCUCAGCACCCGCAUGGGCCGGGUUCACGCUGGGUGACCAAAUGCCGUGUGGUACACAAUUCAUAAAAUGAGAGAAGAAAUGCUUUGGGGGCCUCUGAGCCCAGAGGCUGAGGAACCACAUGAGAAGUGAGUGGCACUCUGCAGACGUGGCCCCUCCUUCCCUGUUUAUGCUUCAAGAUGGCCGAGAACCAGAGCAAGACCAGAAGCUGCAGGAUGAAAUGAUGCUCUGGACCAGACUGGUGGUUUUGACCAGAGGCUGCAAAUGAGGCCUGCGUUUGGCUUGAUGUGCUCAGCUCACUAAAAUGCAAGGCCUCCCGGAGAGGAAGACCUUGCCACCAUUUGUAGGGCUGACUGGCUCCUCUACGGAGAAGGCAUCAACAAAGCUGGAACAGAACAGAGAAUUCACCUUAGGAUGUGGAGCCUAGAAGUGGGGGUGACCCGCUGGACACAACAUCAGGUGCAGCACUCCUGGAUAGUGAAGCCAUGUGGAGCCACUGCCCAGGAUCAGGAAAGGCCCAGCACAUGCUGCUGACCUCUUCAUUGUAUGCACGCCAGGACUCAGCAGGAUGGCCUGAGACAACCGUAAGGUAGGACACAAAACUCAGGCUUUGUUGGUGACCUGCUGGUUCUUCACUUCCUCUGCUUCCCUUGAGGACUGUCCUUGUCUUGCUUCUGCCUGGUCACUUCCAGGUUGCAUGUGUGUAAAAGGGAGACCCUCAUGCUUGCUCCCCCUUGGUGACAGGAGUAAAACAGAAAACGCAGAUGGAGUUCUAGGAAUUCUCAGGUAGGGGACGUGGGCAGAUUCACAGCUUUGGCCACUGUCAGGGCUGAGAAACAUGGCAAGAUCAUGGGGAGGAACCAUGCCUAGGGUGAGUUUGUAGGUGGGCCCUUAAAGAUUUGGAUGUAGAGCUCAGUAGGUGUGAAUAAAUACACUGAAGGCACUGGGAGGAGAUGAUUUUCUGGGUUCUUCCUCUCUGGCCUCCAAUUCAGCAUGAAGCAAGGAUAAAGGAGAUUCCAGCCUAAUAAUUGGGAGGAUUUCUUAAAGCACAUUCCGCAGAAGACUGCAUUUUUCUUGUCAAGCUACUCCAAAAUCAACAGCAAGGGAGCCUGUAAUGAAUUCAGCUGAAUUUGGUUUCUCACUCCAGUGAACCAAGUAACAGCAAAGAGGAUCCAGAGAAACAGGGUCCCGGGGUUCUGGACAUUCCUCUUCUCUUUGGCCAUGUGCCCCCGAUUGUUAAGGAGAGAAGAGUAAAAGAUGGUAACUCUUAAAAUGGAGACCGAAGGGGACUGUGCCUUUGAGGGCCCAUAGCCUAGGUGAGAAGAAGGAUCAGGAACCAAACUUGCAAAACAAUGUAAGAUGCAUUUAGGAGGUGCAGUUUUUGGAGCAAGAGCAGUUAUAAUGAAGCAGUUACAGGUAAGGGAGAAGCCAGAUUUCAGUGAGUUAAAAAGGAGGGGAAUGAGUGGAAACAGCAAGGAAGGUGUGUGUAUGAGAGGCAGUGUCGAGAAAGCUGUGUGGACUAUGGGGCGCUCCUGUCUGCGGGGCGGACUGCUUCAAUCAUACCGUGGGCUUUAAGGCACCUUCAGUGUGACAAUCUGUUCAGCCACGGGGAUAUCAAGAUAAAUAAGACAAAGUCCACAUGCCCAAAGAGCAUUCCAUCUGUGGUUCCAGAGAGACAUAUGAGCAGACAUAUCAAAAUGCAAAGUCAUACAUUCUGGACAGAGGCGGAUGGAGCACAGGAUUAGGAGGGAAAAAACACAAACCUGUUCUCAAGGAGCUUAUGGCCAUUUUUUUUCUCAUCUUUUUAGGGCCCAUGCCCAUGGCAUAUGGAGGUUCUUAGGCUAGGGUUCGAAUCGGAGUUACAGCUGCUGGCCUACACCACAGCCACAGCAACAGCAACGCCAGAUCCAAGCUGUGUCUGCAACCUACACCACAGCUCAUGGCAAUGCCAGAUUCUGAGUGAAGCCAGGGAUUGAACCUGUGUCCUCAUGGAUGCUAGUCAGAUUCCACUGAGCCAGUACGGGAACUCCCUUACAGCCAUUUAGUGUGUCCACAGUUAUAAUGUGUCUGCAGUUAUAGUUAGUAUAACCCUAACCUUAACCCUAACCUUAACCCCCAACACAGGGGACAACGCUUUAGGAGAGGAGCAUUGUACUUUGGGUACCUAGAAAAAAAAAUCAAAUACCUUUUAAGUGAAGCUUGAGGAAGGUCUGCCUGAGAAGGUGGCAUUUGAUUCAAACCUUGAACAAUGGGAAUGAAGGCUAGUGGGAUAGCAGAGAGGGUCACUUCAGGCAGAGGAUGUGAUGUUUUAGGAGAAGGUUUAGGAGAAACUUUUGGUCACACUGUCUUUACUUACAGGAGUAGGAAUCAAGGAUGAAUCUAGAACACAGAGACAGGCUUCUUGGAAAAUUUCCUAGAAUUGAGCCUUUUAUGUCUUCUUGGGUCACCAAGAUUCAGGCUCCUUAAAUGCUCUUAGACCAAAGGCUGGCUCCACACCCAGGAGACUUCAUUAACAUUUCAUCCUCCCAUGGCUCUGUGAUGAAGGCAGUAGAACAAGCCUGCCCUUUGUUGUGAGGGGCGCUUGUGUGUGUGUCUUUUCCACGAAUCUCCCCUAGUGCAUCCUUGGGCAAAAUGUCCUGUUGGCCUCAAGGACAGUAAACAUGUCAGCCUACACUGAUGAGAGGUAAUUAAGCAACCCUAUGAUAUACUCAUGUUGCAGGGUCCUGCUUGGAGUUCCAUCACAAAGACCCUAUCGUCUCUCUUUUAGAAAGACCUCACGUCUCGAUUUAAGGGUUUUUUGAAACUAUUGGAUUAUAUUGAAAAUUUCGUAGAAAGACAGGGCCUCGGUAAAAAAAAAAAAAAAAGAGGAAUGUGAACUUUAAAUAUAGGUGGAUGAGGGAGUUCCCGUUGUGGCUCAGUGGAAACGAAUCCAACUAGUAUCCAUGAGGAUGCAGGUUCAAUCCCUGGCUUCGCUCAGUGGGUUGGUGAGCCAUCAGCUUCAGUGUAGGUGGAAGAUGUGGCUCAGAUCCCCUGUCAUGGUGGCUGUGGGGUAGACUGGCAGCUGCAGCUCUGAUUUGACCCCUAGUCUGGGAAUGUCCGUAUGCUGCAGGUGCGGCCCUAAAAAGCAAAAAAAAAAAAAAAAAAAAAAAAAAAAA
rnacentral:lncRNA from 1 species